rnacentral:rRNA from 1 species
GUCCACGCCGUAAACGAUGAGUGCUAGCUGCUGGACAUGUCUACCAUUUCAGUGGCGUCGCUAACGCAUUAAGCACUCCGCCUGGGAAGUACGGUCGCAAGACUAAAACUCAAAGGAAUUGACGGGGGCCCCGCACAAGCGGUGGAGCAUGUGGUUUAAUUCGAAGCAACGCGAAGAACCUUACCCAGACUUGACAUCUAGGGAACCCUGCUGAAAGGCGGGGGUGCCUUCGCAAGAAGGAGCCCUAAGACAGGUGCUGCAUGGCUGUCGU